CACGGGGGGAGCAAGCGUUGUUCGGAAUUACUGGGCGUAAAGGGCUCGUAGGCGGCCAACUAAGUCACACGUGAAAUCCCCAGGCUUAACCUGGGAACUGCGUGUGAUACUGGAUGGCUUGAAUCCGGGAGAGGGAUGCGGAAUUCCAGGUGUAGCGGUGAAAUGCGUAGAUAUCUGGAGGAACACCGGUGGCGAAGGCGGCAUCCUGGACCGGUAUUGACGCUGAUGAGCGAAAGCCAGGGGAGCAAACGGG
rnacentral:rRNA from 1 species